rnacentral:rRNA from 1 species
GAUGAACGCUGGCGGCGUGCUUAACACAUGCAAGUCGAACGGUGAAAGCGGAGCUUGCUCUGCUGGAUCAGUGGCGAACGGGUGAGUAACACGUGAGCAAUCUGCCCCUGACUCUGGGAUAAGCGCUGGAAACGGCGUCUAAUACCGGAUACGAGCCGCGAAGGCAUCUUCAGCAGAUGGAAAGAACUUCGGUCAGGGAUGAGCUCGCGGCCUAUAAGCUAGUUGGUGAGGUAACGGCUCACCAAGGCGUCGACGGGUAGCCGGCCUGAGAGGGUGACCGGCCACACUGGGACUGAGACACGGCCCAGACUCCUACGGGAGGCAGCAGUGGGGAAUAUUGCACAAUGGGCGAAAGCCUGAUGCAGCAACGCCGCGUGAGGGACGACGGCCUUCGGGUUGUAAACCUCUUUUAGCAGGGAAGAAGCGAAAGUGACGGUACCUGCAGAAAAAGCGCCGACUAACUACGUGCCAGCCGCCGCCGUAA